UCUGGCGGCUCUGGAGGAUCUGGGUCUGGUGGCUCUGGAGGAUCUGGUGGCUUUGGAGGAUCUGGGUCUGGUGGCUUUGGAGGGUCUAGUGGCUUUGGAGGAUCUGGAUCUGGUGGCUUUGGAGGUGUCGGCGGCGGCGCUGGUUUCUACAGUGGUUCUUAUCCCUUCGGUAGUGCAGAAUACGCUCCUUGGCUUGGGUUUCCAAAGGGGUUCUACUACUCUCUGAGGGACUUGAGCCCAAACCCAUAUUUCCGGCUCCCAGACCCCUCAGCCUGGCUCCCCGACCAGGUUGCAGUGGGCCCGUUUCCCGCCCCCGUCCGGGGUCCUACGUCCUACCUGGUCCAGUCCAGCAACGGCUACCAGCGAGCCAAUGAAGUCCUCUCCCACUCCAAAUACGACCCGGAUGACUUUGGCCCGUUCUACCCGCCGGUGGACCCAGCAGUUCCAACAGUAGGACCUGGAGGGAAGAAGGUCUAAGGAGGUGAAGCUGAUCAGCAGAACCUCCAAGAACCAACAACUUACAUUGAAUAAACUUUAAACCAUGA